GAAUAUUGGACAAUGGGCGAAAGCCUGAUCCAGCCAUGCCGCGUGUGUGAAGAAGGUCUUCGGAUUGUAAAGCACUUUAAGUUGGGAGGAAGGGUUGUAGAUUAAUACUCUGCAAUUUUGACGUUACCGACAGAAUAAGCACCGGCUAACUUCGUGCCAGCAGCCGCGGUAAUACGAAGGGUGCAAGCGUUAAUCGGAAUUACUGGGCGUAAAGCGAGCGUUGGUGGCUUGAUAAGUCAGAUGUGAAAUCCCCGGGCUUAACCUGGGAACUGCAUCUGAUACUGUUAGGCUAGAAUAGGUGAGAGGAAGGUAGAAUUCCAGGUGUAGCGGUGAAAUGCGUAGAUAUGCGGAGGAACACCGAUGGCGAAGGCAACCCCCUGGGCCUGUACUGACGCUCAUGCACGAAAGCGUGGGGAGCAAACAGG
rnacentral:rRNA from 1 species